UACGAAGGGGGCUAGCGUUGCUCGGAAUCACUGGGCGUAAAGCGCACGUAGGCGGAUUGCUAAGUCAGGGGUGAAAUCCUGGAGCUCAACUCCAGAACUGCCUUUGAUACUGGCGAUCUUGAGUCCGGGAGAGGUGAGUGGAACUGCGAGUGUAGAGGUGAAAUUCGUAGAUAUUCGCAAGAACACCAGUGGCGAAGGCGGCUCACUGGCCCGGUACUGGCGCUGAGGUGCGAAAGCGUGGGGGAGCAAACAGG
rnacentral:rRNA from 1 species